UAGAAAUAGCCCACGUUUUCUUGGGAGUCC
rnacentral:piRNA from 1 species